rnacentral:piRNA from 1 species
UGAUCAUAAGUGGUGAUGAGAUUUGGAUGA